rnacentral:rRNA from 1 species
GAACUUAAGCAUAUCAAUAAGCGGAGGAAAAGAAACCAACAGGGAUUGCCCUAGUAACGGCGAGUGAAGCGGCAACAGCUCAAAUUUGAAAUCUGGCGCAAGCCCGAGUUGUAAUUUGUAGAGGAUGUUUCUGGCGACGUGCCUUCCGAGUUCCCUGGAACGGGACGCCAUAGAGGGUGAGAGCCCCGUACGGUUGGAUGCCUAGCCUCUGUGAAACCCCUUCGACGAGUCGAGUAGUUUGGGAAUGCUGCUCUAAAUGGGAGGUAUACGUCUUCUAAAGCUAAAUACCGGCCAGAGACCGAUAGCGCACAAGUAGAGUGAUCGAAAGAUGAAAAGCACUUUGAAAAGAGGGUUAAAAAGUACGUGAAAUUGUUGAAAGGGAAGCGUUCAUGACCAGACUUGGGCAGGUUGAUCAUCCGUGGUUCUCCGCGGUGCACUCUGCCUGCCCAGGCCAGCAUCAGUUCGCCCCGGGGGAUAAAGGCUUUGGGAAUGUGGCUCCCUCGGGAGUGUUAUAGCCCACUGUGUAAUACCCUGGGGUGGACUGAGGUUCGCGCUCUGCAAGGAUGCUGGCGUAAUGGUCAUCAACGACCCGUCUUGAAACACGGACCAAGGAGUCGUCUUCGUAUGCGAGUGUUCGGGUGUCAAACCCCUACGCGUAAUGAAAGUGAACGUAGGAGAGAGCUUCGGCGCAUCUCCGACCGAUCCUGAUGUUCUCGGAUGGAUUUGAGUAAGAGCAUACGGGGCCGGACCCGAAA